GACGAACGCUGGCGGCGUGCUUAACACAUGCAAGUCGAACGGUAAGGCCCUGCUUUUGUGGGGUGCUCGAGUGGCGAACGGGUGAGUAACACGUGAGUAACCUGCCCUUGACUUUGGGAUAACUUCAGGAAACUGGGGCUAAUACCGGAUAGGAGCUCCUGCUGCAGGGUGGGGGUUGGAAAGUUUCGGCGGGUGGGGAUGGACGCGCGGCUUAUCAGCUUGUUGGUGGGGUAGUGGCUUACCAAGGCUUUGACGGGUAGCCGGCCUGUGAGGGUGACCGGCCACAAUGGGACUGAGAUACGGCCCAGACUGCUACGGGAGGCAGCGGUGGGGAGUAUUGCACAAUGGGCGGAAGCCUGAUGCAGCGACGCCGCGUGCGGGAUGACGGCCUUCGGGUUGUAAACCGCUUUCGCCUGUGACGGAGCGUGAGUGACGGUAAUGGGUAAAGAAGCACCGGCUAACUACGUG
rnacentral:rRNA from 1 species